CAAACAGGUUAAAUACUCCAAGCAAACAUGUUAAACACACCAACCUAACAGGUUAAACACACCAACCUAACAGGUUACACACACCAAGCUAACAGGUUACACACACAAAGCAAACGGUACCCACACCAUGCUAACAGGUUACACAUAGCAAGCUAACAGGUUUUGCAGAGACCAAACAAAUAGAUUACACACCAAGCUAAUAUGGUACACACAACAAGGUAACAGGUUACACACACCAAGCUAACAGGGUACACACACCAAGCUAUUAGUUUAACACACUAAGCGAACAUGUUACACACACCAAGCUAACAGCGUACACACACCGAGCUAACAGGUUUUCGCAGAGACCAAACGAACAGGUUACACACACAAAGCUAACAGGUUACACACACCAGGCUAACAGGUUACACACAGCAAGCUAACAGGUUACACACACCAAGCUAACAGGUUACACACACCAAGCUAACAGUUUACACACACCAAGCUACCAGGUUACACACACCAAGCUACCAGGUUACACACACCAAGCUACCAAGUUACACACACCAAGCUAACAAGUUACACACACCAAGCUACCAGGUUACACACACCAAGCUACCAGGUUACACACACCAAGCUAACAGGUUACACACACCAUGCUAACAGGUUACACACACCAUGCUAACAGAUAACACACACAAAGCUAACAGGUUACACACACCAAGCUAACAGGUUAGACACACCAAACUACCAAGUUACACUCACCAAGCUAACAGGUUACACACACCAAGCUAACAGGUUACACACACCAAGAUAAUAGCACUCCAAGCUAACAGGUUACACACACAAGAUAACAGGUUACACACACAAGGCUAACAGGUUACACACACACCAGGCUAACAGGUUACACAGCAGGGGUUGGAAAUGAAAGUAUUUUCAUUCUG
rnacentral:lncRNA from 1 species